rnacentral:lncRNA from 1 species
AUCAGAAUGAUUAAACCUAUUUAAAUAUAUAUUAUCCCUUAUAUUACUACAUAAGUGUAGUUUGUUGACUUGUAAGUUUCAUUUGUGAUUUUAAGGUAUAAGAAAGUUGUUAUUAAUUCAAACAUCAUUGGCAUCUACUUGUGAUUUUCUUGUCAAACAACAUUCGUUUUGUGGUUUUCCUUCUUACACAAGUCUCCCCC